rfam:Schistosoma margrebowiei strain Zambia genome assembly, scaffold: SMRZ_contig0009341
AUUCAGCUGACGAGUCCUAAAUGGGACGAAACGCACAUCAAACAGGAU